GAAUAAUAAUAUAUAAUGAGUUGGGAAAAGAAAUAAGAAUGCAGAGAUGUGUAGUGGUGCUGUCUCUAAUAAUUGCAUCUUUAUUGAGUUCCGUGUCACCUCAGUGACAUUGAUCCAUGCCACCAACACUCCAUGUCAGAUGUCUUAAGACCACUUUUUUUCUUUCUUUCUUUUCAAACAAACAACCAAACCAACCUCUUUCUUUCUUUCUUUCUUCUGCCUUCUACUAUAUCCAACAUUCACCCCAAAACCUUCAUCAAAUCAUCUCCACUGUCAUCGUGUUGAAUAAUAUAU
rnacentral:lncRNA from 1 species